rnacentral:rRNA from 1 species
GACGAACGCUGGCGGCGUGCCUAAUACAUGCAAGUCGAACGAGAGCGACCGGUGCUUGCACUGGUCAAUCUAGUGGCGAACGGGUGAGUAACACGUGGGUAACCUGCUCAUCAGAGGGGGAUAACAUCCGGAAACGGAUGCUAAAACCGCAUAGGUCUUCGAGCCGCAUGGCUUGAAGAGGAAAAGAGGCGCAAGCUUCUGCUGAUGGAUGGACCCGCGGUGCAUUAGCUAGUUGGUGAGGUAACGGCUCACCAAGGCCGUGAUGCAUAGCCGACCUGAGAGGGUGAUCGGCCACAUUGGGACUGAGACACGGCCCAAACUCCUACGGGAGGCAGCAGUAGGGAAUCUUCCGCAAUGGACGCAAGUCUGACGGAGCAACGCCGCGUGAGUGAAGAAGGUUUUCGGAUCGUAAAACUCUGUUGUUAGAGAAGAGCAAGUGCUAGAGUAACUGUUAGCGCCUUGACGGUAUCUAACCAGAAAGCCACGGCUAACUACGUG